AGCGUACACGGUGGAUGCCCUGGCAGUCAGAGGCGAUGAAGGACGUGCUAAUCUGCGAUAAGCGUCGGUAAGGUGAUAUGAACCGUUAUAACCGGCGAUUUCCGAAUGGGGAAACCCAGUGUGAUUCGUCACACUAUCAUUAACUGAAUCCAUAGGUUAAUGAGGCGAACCGGGGGAACUGAAACAUCUAAGUACCCCGAGGAAAAGAAAUCAACCGAGAUUCCCCCAGUAGCGGCGAGCGAACGGGGAGCAGCCCAGAGCCUGAAUCAGUGUGUGUGUUAGUGGAAGCGUCUGGAAAGGCGUGCGAUACAGGGUGACAGCCCCGUACACAAAAAUGCACAUGCUGUGAGCUCGAUGAGUAGGGCGGGACACGUGGUAUCCUGUCUGAAUAUGGGGGGACCAUCCUCCAAGGCUAAAUACUCCUGACUGACCGAUAGUGAACCAGUACCGUGAGGGAAAGGCGAAAAGAACCCCGGCGAGGGGAGUGAAAAAGAACCUGAAACCGUGUACGUACAAGCAGUGGGAGCACNNNNNNNNNNGUGUGACUGCGUACCUUUUGUAUAAUGGGUCAGCGACUUAUAUUCUGUAGCAAGGUUAACCGAAUAGGGGAGCCGAAGGGAAACCGAGUCUUAACUGGGCGUUAAGUUGCAGGGUAUAGACCCGAAACCCGGUGAUCUAGCCAUGGGCAGGUUGAAGGUUGGGUAACACUAACUGGAGGACCGAACCGACUAAUGUUGAAAAAUUAGCGGAUGACUUGUGGCUGGGGGUGAAAGGCCAAUCAAACCGGGAGAUAGCUGGUUCUCCCCGAAAGCUAUUUAGGUAGCGCCUCGUGAAUUCAUCUCCGGGGGUAGAGCACUGUUUCGGCAAGGGGGUCAUCCCGACUUACCAACCCGAUGCAAACUGCGAAUACCGGAGAAUGUUAUCACGGGAGACACACGGCGGGUGCUAACGUCCGUCGUGAAGAGGGAAACAACCCAGACCGCCAGCUAAGGUCCCAAAGUCAUGGUUAAGUGGGAAACGAUGUGGGAAGGCCCAGACAGCCAGGAUGUUGGCUUAGAAGCAGCCAUCAUUUAAAGAAAGCGUAAUAGCUCACUGGUCGAGUCGGCCUGCGCGGAAGAUGUAACGGGGCUAAACCAUGCACCGAAGCUGCGGCAGCGACGCUUAUGCGUUGUUGGGUAGGGGAGCGUUCUGUAAGCCUGCGAAGGUGUGCUGUGAGGCAUGCUGGAGGUAUCAGAAGUGCGAAUGCUGACAUAAGUAACGAUAAAGCGGGUGAAAAGCCCGCUCGCCGGAAGACCAAGGGUUCCUGUCCAACGUUAAUCGGGGCAGGGUGAGUCGACCCCUAAGGCGAGGCCGAAAGGCGUAGUCGAUGGGAAACAGGUUAAUAUUCCUGUACUUGGUGUUACUGCGAAGGGGGGACGGAGAAGGCUAUGUUGGCCGGGCGACGGUUGUCCCGGUUUAAGCGUGUAGGCUGGUUUUCCAGGCAAAUCCGGAAAAUCAAGGCUGAGGCGUGAUGACGAGGCACUACGGUGCUGAAGCAACAAAUGCCCUGCUUCCAGGAAAAGCCUCUAAGCAUCAGGUAACAUCAAAUCGUACCCCAAACCGACACAGGUGGUCAGGUAGAGAAUACCAAGGCGCUUGAGAGAACUCGGGUGAAGGAACUAGGCAAAAUGGUGCCGUAACUUCGGGAGAAGGCACGCUGAUAUGUAGGUGAAGUCCCUCGCGGAUGGAGCUGAAAUCAGUCGAAGAUACCAGCUGGCUGCAACUGUUUAUUAAAAACACAGCACUGUGCAAACACGAAAGUGGACGUAUACGGUGUGACGCCUGCCCGGUGCCGGAAGGUUAAUUGAUGGGGUUAGCGCAAGCGAAGCUCUUGAUCGAAGCCCCGGUAAACGGCGGCCGUAACUAUAACGGUCCUAAGGUAGCGAAAUUCCUUGUCGGGUAAGUUCCGACCUGCACGAAUGGCGUAAUGAUGGCCAGGCUGUCUCCACCCGAGACUCAGUGAAAUUGAACUCGCUGUGAAGAUGCAGUGUACCCGCGGCAAGACGGAAAGACCCCGUGAACCUUUACUAUAGCUUGACACUGAACAUUGAGCCUUGAUGUGUAGGAUAGGUGGGAGGCUUUGAAGUGUGGACGCCAGUCUGCAUGGAGCCGACCUUGAAAUACCACCCUUUAAUGUUUGAUGUUCUAACGUUGACCCGUAAUCCGGGUUGCGGACAGUGUCUGGUGGGUAGUUUGACUGGGGCGGUCUCCUCCUAAAGAGUAACGGAGGAGCACGAAGGUUGGCUAAUCCUGGUCGGACAUCAGGAGGUUAGUGCAAUGGCAUAAGCCAGCUUGACUGCGAGCGUGACGGCGCGAGCAGGUGCGAAAGCAGGUCAUAGUGAUCCGGUGGUUCUGAAUGGAAGGGCCAUCGCUCAACGGAUAAAAGGUACUCCGGGGAUAACAGGCUGAUACCGCCCAAGAGUUCAUAUCGACGGCGGUGUUUGGCACCUCGAUGUCGGCUCAUCACAUCCUGGGGCUGAAGUAGGUCCCAAGGGUAUGGCUGUUCGCCAUUUAAAGUGGUACGCGAGCUGGGUUUAGAACGUCGUGAGACAGUUCGGUCCCUAUCUGCCGUGGGCGCUGGAGAACUGAGGGGGGCUGCUCCUAGUACGAGAGGACCGGAGUGGACGCAUCACUGGUGUUCGGGUUGUCAUGCCAAUGGCACUGCCCGGUAGCUAAAUGCGGAAGAGAUAAGUGCUGAAAGCAUCUAAGCACGAAACUUGCCCCGAGAUGAGUUCUCCCUGACUCCUUGA
rnacentral:rRNA from 1 species